rnacentral:rRNA from 1 species
GACGAACGCUGGCGGCGUGCUUAACACAUGCAAGUCGAACGGAAAGGCCUGCUUUCCCUUGUGGAUUGCGGGUACUCGAGUGGCGAACGGGUGAGUAACACGUGAGUGAUCUGCCCCCAACUUGGGUAUAAGCCUGGGAAACUGGGUCUAAUUCCCGAUAGGACUGCAGGGUGGUGCCUGUGGUGGAAAACGAUUUUCUAGUGGUUGGGGGUGAGCUCGCGGCCUAUCAGCUGGUUGGUGGGGUAAUGGCCUACCAAGGCGGCGACGGGUAGCCGGCCUGGGAGGGUGGACGGCCACAGUGGGACUGAGAUACGGCCCAGACUCCUACGCGAGGCAGCAGUGGGGAAUAUUGCACAAUGGGCGGAAGCCUGAUGCAGCGACGCCGCGUGGGGGAUGACGGCCUUCGGGUUGUAAACUCCUUUCGACCGCGAGGAAGCCACAUGGUUGGAAGGGUGGUGACGGUAGUGGUAGAAGAAGCACCGGCUAACUACGUG